rnacentral:rRNA from 1 species
AACGAACGCUGGCGGCAUGCCUAACACAUGCAAGUCGAACGAUGAUUUCGGGCAUAGUGGCGCACGGGUGCGUACCGCGUGGGAAUUUGCACUUGGGUUAGGUACAACAGAGAGAAAUUUAUGCUAAUACAGGAUGAUGUCUUCGGACCAAAGAUGUAUGGCUCAGGGAUGGGGCCGCGUAGGAUUAGCCAGUUGGUGGGGUAAUGGCGUGUCAAGGCGACGAUCCUGGGCUGGUCGGGGAGGAGGACCAGCAACGCUUGGACUGAGGCACGGGCCAGACUGCUACGGGGGGGAGCAGUGGGGUGUAUAGGGGGAGGGACGCAGACGUGGUACAGCAAUGCCGGGGAAGUGAUGAAGGCCUUAGUGUUGUAAAGCUCUUUUACCCGAGAUGAUAAUGACGGUACCGGGUGAAGAAGCUCCGGCUAACUCCGUG